rnacentral:rRNA from 1 species
UACGUAGGGGGCGAGCGUUGUCCGGAAUCACUGGGCGUAAAGGGCGCGUAGGCGGCCUGGAAAGUCCAAAGUGAAAGGCACGGGCUCAACCCGUGGAAUGCUUUGGAAACUGACGGGCUUGAGUGCGGGAGAGGGGAGUGGAAUUCCAGGUGUAGCGGUGGAAUGCGUAGAUAUCUGGAGGAACACCCGUGGCGAAGGCGGCUCUCUGGCCCGCAACUGACGCUGAGGCGCGAAAGCUGGGGGAGCGAACGGG